AUUGAUUACCGAUUAGCCCGAAGAUCUCGAACCUCGAGUUGCAUCCUGAAUUUUGUGAAGAAUUUUUUUGCAAAACAACAAAACAAACAUCAUAUAUUUUUCAAACCAAUAGACAUGCCCAGAGAAAGAUCGUUUUCGCCAAAAAGGAGCUACAGAAGCAGGACGCCAGAAAAAUACAGAAAAAGGUCAAGGUCACCCAAAAGGUCUAGAUCUCCAAGAAGGUCAAGAUCGUAUUCACCAAAGUUUAGAGUGAAAAAGCAGUAUUAUUCUGCAAAACCCAGGUAUCCUGGAUACUAUAGAGGAAGAAGUAGAGGCUACAAUCAACCAUAUGGAAGGAAGCCUCCAUUUGACAGACAAAAGCGAUCUCCAUUUAGAGGAGAUUCCAGUCAUCGCUAUUCCAGAUCCCGCUCCCCAUCACCAAAGAAGAGGUCCCCAUCGCCACCAAGAAGGAAGUCACCAGAAUUGUCAACAAGACCCGCUAGGCCUGUCAGCUUAGAUGAAAAGAGAAGAGAUUCUCACAGUAUGGGAUUGGGUUUGGGACGUCCAGAGACCUCUACUUUCCCCAUCUCUUUAGGAGACCCAUUUAGCAAAUCCGCCUCAUCAUCAGAAGACCGAUAUAAAUCAUUCCGAAACAUGUCCCCUGAUAAUUCUCCGUCAGCACUGGCCCCAGGGGUCAUCGGAACAGUGACUGUGGCUCCGCCCAGUGUCAGGAGACCGCUAUUAUCCCAAAGAUUCGAAAAUAUUGACGCAGAAUAUGUGGGCCCAGUAAGAGUGGAUGAGAAUAUCUCUAUUGGAAUACACCGCACUGGACCUAAUCUUCGUAACACUCCGAACAAGCCUGUUGUCAGAGAUUUUGAUCCGUACAAAUUUGUCAUGUUAAGGAGACGAGAUGAAGGGAAGAAGCCCAUAUUUGAUCGUGAGGAAAUUAAAAUUUUUGGGUUGGAUAAUAUCCUGGACGAACAGAUUUAUGACGAGAAAAGGACAAUAAGUGUUGUUCCUACUGAUGAUCACAGGAGAUCCUCUCGCUCUGACAGUCGACGGUCUCCAGACAGACAGGACACACGUACUGUGAAAUCUUCAGACAGACCCAGAGAACCCACUAUCAGAUUAAAUCCAAAACCAGAUCCUCGUUAUGAGAAGUUGUUUCAAGAAACAGAGGCCUAUGAAAGUAAAAGUAUAAAUCCCAAUGACUUGCGCCAUAAUUUGAUGAAGCGGAAGUAUGAUGACGACGAGGACAGUUAUGAUGCCAGGCACAGACUGGAGGAUAGAAGAAAAGGGGGAAGAGACUACUCAGACAGAGACAGAAAGAAAUCCUUAGAUGAAAGGUUAGGCAAGAAAUCAGAUUCUGAAGAACUACCAGAUUUUAAAAACCGCCCUGGGAAAUACAAAGAAGCAUGGAAGGAGAAUCCUGAAAUGAUACCAAAGCAUCCGAUGUAUUUUGAGCAUGAUAACAGAGAAAAAGAUGCUAAUGCAAGAGGCAGGUUUGGAUAUAAUCGAUUUUUCCGUGGAGGAAACCGCAGGCCAUAGACUCCGGUGAAUGGAAACACGAUUUAUACGACACCAUCGAAAGUGAAGAUGGAGAGAAGACAGAGGACAAGUCGCAUGAAGAUAACAAGCCCUCUAGUACCACCACUACUUAGGUCGACAGAAUAGUGACUAUUGCAUGAAAGAGUGACUACUAGUGACUACGAUAAUUACUUUGAAGGAUUGAGACUAUGACAUGGGAGUCUGAGUUCGAUCUCUUCUGGAAUGUGUCUCACACGUAGGAAUGUAACAAUAGCAUGAAAGUUUGACUGAUCCAUGUUAACAAGAUUAUUACACAUGACUGCUCCUUAAUAAUGUGAGUACCAGUGAGUACUAGAGAGGAGAGUGACUAUUGGCUUGCAUUGACUAAUAUCUGUUGUGAAAAAGACUAUCCUGACUAUCCAGCAUGACUCAUACGAUGGCAUUACCUAUAUGAACCUUGUCAUUAGUAAAAUGAACUGUGCAUCGGGAUGCUUGGGACGGGAGUGUUUUUUACCUGCAUUAUAUGGCUACAUCAUUUUAGUUACUGGGAAUUUGCACGUAUUUUAGGAUGCAUAGAGGUACCAGUACUCAAGCCAUUGCAAAGUCAUCUCGGAGCUUCAGUGAAGAACAAUACAUGUAGUAAGAUUCUCUGUGUUCAAUUCCAGUUUUACAUUGUACUCUCAACAUGUGAUGUAAUCCAUUUUCUUCAGAGUACAUGAACCAGUGCUUUACUCUUAAUUUGUUGUCAUCAUUCAACAGAUCUGUAAUCUGUUGCUGUUGUACAUUUGUAUUUUAGUGUGCAUAAUAUAUAUCCUUUGUAUAUUUUGCUUGAUUUUAGUAACUCUUUUCAUGUUGUCUUGUAAUAGCAAAACAUAGGAAAAAAAUAUUUUUUUAAACAUGUAUCAUUAUCAAGAUGUUAAAUUCGUCUUUUAAUGCCAAGUCUUUUUUACUGUCCAUUGCUUGUUAUCCAGUAGUCAUUUGUAAAUGUUUAAAGAAGCAGUAUGUUUCACAACAUCUGAAAUGUUAUAUGUGCACAAGGUUGUACAUGUGUUUUACAUGUAAAGUAGUGAGUGAUUUUAUCAGUCUGCAUGGAAAUUUCAUGUCAUGAAUAUGAACUGUGGAAUCAUUUUUAUUCGUGGGGGGGGGGGGGGGGGGGGGUCAAUGUUUGUGGGUAGCCAAAAUUUUCGUGGACGUAAUUUCGUUGAUAGCGUAAUCAGGAUAAUUUUAAUGAAUAUUAAACAAAUGAUUGUAUAUAGGUUUGUGGGGGUGUAAAUUUGCAUACAAUAAUUCGUUACACACGAAAGCUACAAACAUUGGUCCACCACGAACAAUGGUGAUUCCACAGUAUUUCAAUUCUUUGAAUGUUAUUCUAUGUUUUAUAAUUAUAAGACAUUAAAAAUCGAUUUGGAAAAUUG
rnacentral:misc_RNA from 1 species